CAGCAGCGCCCGGGGUAUUCCAAAUCUGUUUAAAAAACACACGAUUUGCUCUGGACGCCCGGCCAGCAUGGCCAAUACUGAAAGUUACUGACGCGCGGCAUCUCCCCCCAAGUGCCCCGUCAGCCGAGGUACCGUGGACCGCGUACCUUGAUUUACUCCUAAUGGUCUUGACCCGGAUUCAUCCCCCAGAGUCCGG
rnacentral:sRNA from 1 species